rnacentral:rRNA from 1 species
UACGGGGGGGGCAAGCGUUGUUCGGAAUUACUGGGCGUAAAGGGUGCGUAGGCGGUCCGCUAAGUUGGAUGUGAAAACUCUGGGCUUAACCCAGAGCCUGCAUUCAAAACUGACGGGCUAGAGUUCUGGAGGGGGUAGCGGAAUUCCUGGUGUAGCGGUGAAAUGCGUAGAUAUCAGGAGGAACACCGGUGGCGAAGGCGGCACUCUGGGCCGGUACUGACGCUGAGGAGCGAAAGCGUGGGGAGCAAACAGG